GACGAACGCUGGCGGCGUGCUUAACACAUGCAAGUCGAGCGGUAAGGCCCUUUCGGGGGUACACGAGCGGCGAACGGGUGAGUAACACGUGGGUGACCUGCCUUUAGCUCUGGGAUAAGCCUGGGAAACUGGGUCUAAUACCGGAUAUGACUCCAUGAUGCAUGUUGUGGGGUGAAAGCCUUGUGCGGCUGGAGAUGGGCCCGCGGCCUAUCAGCUUGUUGGUGGGGUGANGGCCUACCAAGGCGACGACGGGUAGCCGGCCUGAGAGGGCGACCGGCACACUGGGACUGAGACACGGCCCAGACUCCGUACGGGGGCAGCAGUGGGGAAUCUUGCGCAAGUGGGCGAAAGCCUGACGCAGCGACGCCGCGUGAGGGAUGACGGCCUGGUGUAA
rnacentral:rRNA from 1 species